GAAGCAAGAUCAGGCUAGAGCAGGGUUAAAACCCAUGCCUUCCCCAGAGAAACACCAUUUGCAACCCUUGUCAGUUGGUGGGAGAGGAGCCACCUGCAGCCCAUCAGCAUGGGAGAUGUUGAUGAAGAGCAGGGGCUCUUCUGAGCAGUGUGAGAAAGCCACACCUCCGUGGAGACUGCUGAACUGAGCCAGGAGUACCUUGGAAGGCGGAUGCUCAUACUUAGGCUUUUGUAAGGAACAGUGUGAAGAGACCACAAUCAUCUGUCAGGGUCCUUCAGUGUCAUGGUGAAAUUUAUAUCCUGCAGAGUGACAAACACCUUAUUCAAACUGACACCCUUCAUCUCCACUGAAGGUUUUCAAGACCAUGCUAAUGGAGUCUAUCAGUCACUAACCUCAUGUAAAAUAUAGUCCCAGAGUGAUCAUACAUAGAACUGAUCUUGGGGAUGGACCAAAAUUCAAUAGAGGCAUUCCUUAGAUACCUGACUUAGUUAUGCCUUAAUGAUGUAACUCCAUCGUGGUGAAAAUCACUCUGAGAGCACUGCAGUGUUUGCUGCUGCUCAAUCCAGCCGCUGAUCCUUUCCAACAAGUUGCUCAUCUGUUUCCCUUGGAGCAACAACCAUGCCCUCCUACCAACCUAGCAUGAACAGUGGCAGAUACACAGCACUUUGAACAGAUGAAAGCUCCAGCAACAGGAAUCUGGACAUCUUGUCGCUGCUUCAGUUCACAGCUUGUAGUCACAGACACUCAUUGUAACCUCCUGUGGUGAUAAACAGGAUUAUCUCUGCUGACAACGUUCAACAAAACAUUGCCUUCGCCCUCCUUACUCCUGCCAGCUCAAAGAAGGAAAGACGUUUCCAGGGGAAGUAGCACUGAAGGAUUCCUGU